rnacentral:rRNA from 1 species
UAACUGACGCUAAAGCUCGAAAGUGCGGGUAUCGAACAGGAUUAGAUACCCUGGUAGUCCGCACGGUAAACGAUGGAUGCCCGCUGUUUGCGAUAUAUUGUAAGCGGCCAAGAGAAAUCGUUAAGCAUCCCACCUGGGGAGUACGCCGGCAACGGUGAAACUCAAAGGAAUUGACGGGGGCCCGCACAAGCGGAGGAACAUGUGGUUUAAUUCGAUGAUACGCGAGGAACCUUACCCGGGCUUGAACUGCAGAGGAAGGAUCUAGAGAUAGUGACGCCCUUCGGGGCCUCUGUGGAGGUGCUGCAUGGUUGUCGUCAGCUCGUGCCGUGAGGUGUCGGCUUAAGUGCCAUAACGAGCGCAACCCCUUUCUCCAGUUGCCAGCAUGUUGAGGUGGGCACUCUGGAGACACUGCCACCGUAAGGUGUGAGGAAGGUGGGGAUGACGUCAAAUCAGCACGGCCCUUACGUCCGGGGCUACACACGUGUUACAAUGGGUGGUACAGAGAGUCGGUGCACCGCAAGCUGCAUCUAAUCAUGAAAGCCAUCCUCAGUUCGGAUUGGGGUCUGCAACCCGACCCCAUGAAGCUGGAUUCGCUAGUAAU